UAGGGAAUCUUCGGCAAUGGACGAAAGUCUGACCGAGCAACGCCGCGUGAGUGAAGAAGGUUUUCGGAUCGUAAAACUCUGUUGUUAGAGAAGAACAAGGACGUUAGUAACUGAACGUCCCCUGACGGUAUCUAACCAGAAAGCCACGGCUAACUACGUGCCAGCAGCCGCGGUAAUACGUAGGUGGCAAGCGUUGUCCGGAUUUAUUGGGCGUAAAGCGAGCGCAGGCGGUUUCUUAAGUCUGAUGUGAAAGCCCCCGGCUCAACCGGGGAGGGUCAUUGGAAACUGGGAGACUUGAGUGCAGAAGAGGAGAGUGGAAUUCCAUGUGUAGCGGUGAAAUGCGUAGAUAUAUGGAGGAACACCAGUGGCGAAGGCGGCUCUCUGGUCUGUAACUGACGCUGACGCUCGAAAGCGUGGGGAGCAAACAGG
rnacentral:rRNA from 1 species